AUUCUGUUCCUUUUUUUUUCUCUUCCCCCCAACAAUUCACUGUAAGCUCAUAUACUAAUGAUCUUUGUUCACAAUUUUAUAUAGAAUAAUAUACACUGACAUAUAAUUUUCUAUCUUCUGUUUUAUGUGAAUUUUAUGUAAUUUGUGAGAUGAAUAACUAUAUUCAUUAUAAUCAGACAAUGCUGAAUGCAUGAAUAAUGUUAUACUCUCUCAAAAACGACUACAGACAAUGCUGAAUGCAUGAAUAAUUUAUCCAGAUUAUAUCGGAACUUUGGAACGCAUAUAUGCGUUCCAGCAAGUAUCACGUGACGAUUGCGUUCCACGGAUGGAACGCAGAAAACCGGAACUGGAAGCGGAAUUGAAAAUCCCAUUGAAUGCCGAUCGAGAAUAGCAAAAAGACCGCCAAAGCACAGCUAUUUAAAAUGGACCUACAAACUAAACUAACCAGCAACUGAGGAAGCCUCUAAACAGGGCGAAACGUGUUUUGUACUUUAUAUAAGGACUUACCUUCGAAAUUGUAAGGUUUUUUAUUUAUUCAAUUUUAUUUUAUGUAUACUUUGUGCACUUUAUAACAAAGCACUUUACCCCUGCUACAUACUGAGAGGAUAUCCUAUUAUUUGGAAACCCCUGCCAGUACAAAGAAGGGAGUGGACCCCUCUAGCACCCACAAAGCUGAAUUUCUGAGCCUCCAUAAUGGCUCCUUGUUUGAAGAACAACUCAAGAAUAAUUUUAUUCAUGUAAAGAUAUUCCAUCUUUUAUUUGAAGAACCACUUAAGAACUACUUUUCAUGUAAAGAUGCUCCACCUUAUAUUGUAUGUAUAUUUCUGUUUGUUUGUGUGGUUAAAGGGAAAACCCACAAAGGUGUGAGAGUAUUCUAUUACUAUUGGUGUUACUCACUGGGAUAUUGUUAUAUAUUGCUUUCUAUUCCCACAAUUCACCUGUUAUCUAAACGUAAUCAUUAUGCUCUAUGUCACAUUGCUAGUGUGGAGUACACAUUAUAUAGAUCUGGGUACACAGUGUGCACUAACUCCUUUACAAGGACAAGCCUUCACCCUAGGUUAGCCAGCUCCACCUGCUGGCCACUCAGAGUAAUACAGCAUCCCUGCUCACAGCAGGAGCUAUUCACAAAAGUGAGAAUUCAAAGUGAAUUUUACAUUUAAG